rnacentral:rRNA from 1 species
CUACGGGUUGCUGCAGUGAGGAAUUUUGCGCAAUGGGGGAAACCCUGACGCAGCAACGCCGCGUGAGCGAAGAAGGCCCUCGGGUCGUAAAGCUCUGUCAAGUGGGAAAAAAAUUUUUUGAUCAAUAGUCAAAAGACUUGAUGGUACCACUGGAGGAAGCACCGGCUGACUCCGUGCCAGCAGCCGCGGUAAUACGGAGGGUGCGAGCGUUGUUCGGAUUUACUGGGCGUAAAGAGCGUGUAGGCGGUUUAGCAAGUCAGAUGUGAAAGCCCUGGGCUCAACCCGGGAAGUGCAUUUGAAACUGCUUCACUAGAGUAUGGGAGAGGAGAUUGGAAUUCCUGGUGUAGAGGUGAAAUUCGUAGAUAUCAGGAGGAACACCCGUGGCGAAGGCGAUUCUCUGGACCAAUACUGACGCUGAGACGCGAAAGCGUGGGGAGCAAACAGGAUUAGAUACCCCCGUAGUC